UGGGGAAUUUUGGACAAUGGGCGCAAGCCUGAUCCAGCCAUGCCGCGUGCGGGAAGAAGGCCUUCGGGUUGUAAACCGCUUUUGUCAGGGAAGAAAUCUUCUGAGUUAAUACCUCGGGAGGAUGACGGUACCUGAAGAAUAAGCACCGGCUAACUACGUGCCAGCAGCCGCGGUAAUACGUAGGGUGCAAGCGUUAAUCGGAAUUACUGGGCGUAAAGCGUGCGCAGGCGGUUUUGUAAGACAGAGGUGAAAUCCCCGGGCUCAACCUGGGAACUGCCUUUGUGACUGCAAGGCUUGAGUGCGGCAGAGGGGGAUGGAAUUCCGCGUGUAGCAGUGAAAUGCGUAGACAUGCGGAGGAACACCGAUGGCGAAGGCAAUCCCCUGGGCCUGCACUGACGCUCAUGCACGAAAGCGUGGGGAGCAAACAGGAUUAGAUACCCUGGUAGUCCACGCCCUAAACGAUGUCAACUGGUUGUUGGGAAGGUUCCUUCUCAGUAACGUAGCUAACGCGUGAAGUUGACCGCCUGGGGAGUACGGCCGCAAGGUUGAAACUCAAAUGAAUUGA
rnacentral:rRNA from 1 species